ensembl:snRNA U6 U6 spliceosomal RNA
GUACUUGUUUCUGCAGCAUAUAUACUAAUAUGAGAAGGAAGAUUAACAUGGUCCCUGAACAAGGAUGCUGUGCAAAUUUGUGAAAUAUUCCAUAUUUUU